GUGUCAGCCGCCGCGGUAAUACAGAGGGUGCGAGCGUUGUCCGGAAUCACUGGGCGUAAAGGGCGUGUAGGCGGCUGGGUAAGCCGCGUGUGAAAUCCCGGGGCUCAACCCCGGAACGGCACGCGGGACUGUCCGGCUAGAGAAUGGUAGAGGCGAGUGGAAUUCCUGGUGUAGCGGUGGAAUGCGUAGAGAUCAGGAAGAACACCGGUGGCGAAGGCGGCUCGCUGGGCCAUUUCUGACGCUGAGGCGCGAAAGCGUGGGGAGCAAACAGGAUUAGAUACCCCCGUAGUCC
rnacentral:rRNA from 1 species